rnacentral:rRNA from 1 species
UACCUUUUGUAUAAUGGGUCAGCGACUUAUAUUCUGUAGCAAGGUUAACCGUAUAGGGGAGCCGUAGGGAAACCGAGUCUUAACCGGGCGUUAAGUUGCAGGGUAUAGACCCGAAACCCGGUGAUCUAGCCAUGGGCAGGUUGAAGGUUGGGUAACACUAACUGGAGGACCGAACCGACUAAUGUUGAAAAAUUAGCGGAUGACCUGUGGCUGGGGGUGAAAGGCCAAUCAAACCGGGAGAUAGCUGGUUCUCCCCGAAAGCUAUUUAGGUAGCGCCUCGUGAAUUCAUCUCCGGGGGUAGAGCACUGUUUCGGCUAGGGGGCCAUCCCGGCUUACCAACCCGAUGCAAACUGCGAAUACCGGAGAAUGUUAUCACGGGAGACACACGGCGGGUGCUAACGUCCGUCGUGAAGAGGGAAACAACCCAGACCGCCAGCUAAGGUCCCAAAGUCAUGGUUAAGUGGGAAACGAUGUGGGAAGGCCCAGACAGCCAGGAUGUUGGCUUAGAAGCAGCCAUCAUUUAAAGAAAGCGUAAUAGCUCACUGGUCGAGUCGGCCUGCGCGGAAGAUGUAACGGGGCUAAACCAUGCACCGAAGCUGCGGCAGCGAACGUAUCACCCAAGACAACUUUACGGAGUUGACGAUUGACGGAGCGAAGCGACGUCAAAGCGUUCAUUAAAGUCGAGUUGGCUUAGGGAUACGUUCGUUGGGUAGGGGAGCGUUCUGUAAGCCUGUGAAGGUGUGUCGUGAGGCAUGCUGGAGGUAUCAGAAGUGCGAAUGCUGACAUAAGUAACGAUAAAGCGGGUGAAAAGCCCGCUCGCCGGAAGACCAAGGGUUCCUGUCCAACGUUAAUCGGGGCAGGGUGAGUCGACCCCUAAGGCGAGGCCGAAAGGCGUAGUCGAUGGGAAACGGGUUAAUAUUCCCGUACUUGGUGUUACUGCGAAGGGGGGACGGAGAAGGCUAUGUUGGCCGGGCGACGGUUGUCCCGGUUUAAGCGUGUAGGUGUGUGUUCCAGGUAAAUCCGGUUCACUUUAACACUGAGGCGUGACGACGAGGCACUACGGUGCUGAAGCAACAAAUGCCCUGCUUCCAGGAAAAGCCUCUAAGCAUCAGGUAACAC